rnacentral:rRNA from 1 species
AAUCAAGUGCCUUAAGGGUGUUCGGUGGAUGCCUUGGCGCUGAGAGGCGAUGAAGGACGUGCUACGCUGCGAUAAGCCGUGGGGAGCUGCGAAGAAGCUUUGAUCCAUGGAUUUCCGAAUGGGGAAACCCACCUUCGAUAGCCGGAACUCCAAGACCUUUGUCGAAAGACAUUGGUGUGGGGUUCGAUCAGAAAUGAGAGAUGCCUAGGCCUUUAGAUUUCGAUCGAAGAGGUUUUGGAUUUCCGGUUAUCAAGAGAAGGUAUGAGACUUCUGAAUACAUAGGAGGUUUCAAGCAAACCCAGGGAACUGAAACAUCUAAGUACCUGGAGGAAAGGACAUCAACAGAGACUCCGUUAGUAGUGGCGAGCGAACGCGGACCAGGCCAGUGAUACAUCAAAGACAAUCGGAACCGGUCAGGAAAGCCGGGCCU